CAAUGCUUUCCCAGGUUAUGCCACUGACAAUCCAAGACAUAUAUUACAACAAUGCACAAUUUGUAGGAUGCUUCUGGCUUCACAAUAUCCUCUGAUGCCUUAAACCCCUAUGGCUGUUAAAGUGGAGUCCCAGUACUGCAUUUGUGUGAUGUGAAAGUGCCUGGAGACAACUCCCCAUUGAUAACAAGCUACUUAAAGCUAGAAAGUUGUGACAUGAACUCCAGUUUGCAGCCCUGUAAAGCUUUCCUUGGAACAGGACCUCGAGUGUGAUGCCCCUGUGUCAACGACUAUAAAGAAGUAAUGUACAUCCCAACCUUCAGUGCAACCAAUUAAAGA
rnacentral:lncRNA from 11 species